CUAUAAUACUAUUUACAACAAACCCGAUCCCAUUACUCAAAGCUUAAUAGGAAGAAGCAACUGAUUCAGCAACAUCUUUGUGGUUUUAGUUUCUUGCUAAAGCUAUCUAACAAAGCUUUACCUUGGAGGAUUAAUGGCUGACGUUCGCACACAUGCACACCAGGUUCAAGUGCACCCUCUACGCCAGCACGAAGGAGGCAUCAAAGUGGUUUAUCCCCAGAGCGGGCCUUCUUCCACUCAGGUUCCUUUUUUAAUUUACACCAUCCUUGGAAUCUCAGCAUAUAUUAUACAACAAAUAUGAAUAUCAUUUGUAUACGCUUUACACGUGCAUGCAGGUUCUAGCAGUGGUCGCCGGCGUACCGGUUGGAGGGACGCUGCUAACUCUGGCCGGUUUAACCUUAGCCGUUUCGGUUAUAGGACUAAUACUGGCAUUCCCGCUGUUCCUCAUCUUCAGUCCGGUUAUCGUACCAGCGGCCUUUGUGAUCGGUUUAGCUAUGACAGGAUUCAUGGCGUCAGGGGCAAUAGGGCUCACGGGACUAUCGUCGAUGUCGUGGGUACUGAACCACAUCCGAAGAGUAAGGGAACGUAUGCCGGAUGAGCUGGAUGAAGCAAAGCAGCGUUUGGCUGACAUGGCCGAGUACGUGGGGCAGAGGACAAAAGAUGCAGGACAGACCAUAGAAGACAAAGCUCACGAUGUACGAGAGAGCAAGACUUAUGAUGUUCGAGAUAGAGACACAAAGGGUCAUACUGCCUCAGGAGGAGACAGGGACACCAAGACAACUCGCGAGGUACGAGUGGCGACAACAUGAAGCGUGUGUUUUGUGAUGAAUAAAAAGAGACUCGCCUGUUGUGGUUCUGGUUUCUUGGUAGAUAGGUGUUGUGUGUUUAAGUUUAAAAUGGUGUUCUGCUCUGUAAGCGUUCUUCGAGUGUUGAGUGUGUUUUACUUCUAAUAAUAAUGUGGACGUUUUGCUUCUAAGGGUUUUAUGUGCGUUCAUCAAUAGUUAGAUCUAAUUUGAAUAGGAAAAUGCAUCCUGUUUAGCCAUGUAAGUGAAAAAACAGAUAAUGAAAUAUACAUAUAUUAGCUGGUAUAGAGAAAUGGGACCAUACUAAUUAUGAAAUAAAGACAGCCAAGAAACGGUGGACUGACUCUAAAUUGAUUGGUACCACAAGACUUAGGUUCAUGCGUACGUCCACAUGUUUAAACCCGCCCUUUUAUCACAUCCAUACGUUUCCCGCCUCCUUCUGACACUUCGAAAUACAUAGUUUUCGACAAAACAAUUAUUAUUAUUAGUUGUUAUCAUCAUACGUCAAAGUUUGGCUAGAGAGAUUUAUUCUAUCUUAUUAGCACAAAUUAAACACGAAAACACGUCGGCAUAAUAACUUGUCUAAUAUAAAUAAACAAUUAAUUAUCAUUAGAGCAUGAUUAUUGGAAGGUUGUUAGGGUGGAGUUCUUAGCGGAAUAUAAGAACUCAUCUCUUAACUUUUAGCUAAAAAAAGUUAAGAACCGUAUCUAAAAACUCUUAUUUAAGAAUCGGUUCUUAACUUUUUUUUUUGUUAAAAAUUAAGGCGUAUUUGUAGCCGAGAGCGAGAGCGAGAGAGCUAUUCCACUUCUCAACAAUAACCGCCACGUGCGCUUUGUUACUUCUUUUUCCUUCCUUUUAUUAAUACUUACUACAACUACUUUAAUUAAUAUCAUCGUUUAUUACUAUUUAUUAUGCUUAUCCUUGUUCGUAUUUUAAGAAUACAAACAAAUAAUCCAAACAUCUGACCAAUCAAAAGCCUACAAAUAAGAGAAAGCAUAUAUAUAGUAUUAACAAAAGUAAAUGGACCUGCUGUUUAGACCACUUGUUUCCGGCCCAGGCCCAUCGUGUUAUAGCAAAUAUAUUGGCGCGCAUGGGUCUUUCUGUCUAUUAACGCUCUGCUUCUUCUUCUUCUUCUCUCCCUCUCAAAUUCAUUUGCUCAGUUAAUCAAGCAAGCAAUUCCCUAGAAACGAGAAAAUGGAUGGAAAAUUUAUAGUAAUCUAGGAUAAUAUCAGUUUCCUGGGAAUUAUAUUACAGGCUUUCUUAUCAAAAGUUUAUCUUCUUUCGUGUAUGCACGCCACUUGUUCGACGAAAUGACCAAGAGGAGCUUAUAUCAGUGGAAUACUCUUCUUAAAAGCUUAUCCAGAGAUAAACAAUGGCAACAAGUAUUGUCUCAGUUUAUCCAAAUGUUUCGCUGUGAAGAAAAGCCUGAUAACUUCACCAUUCCAGUUGCUCUCAAGGCCUGCGUUGAGUUGCGGCAAAUUAAGUGUGGAGAAAUCAUUCAUGCGUUCAUCAACAAGGAUGCUUCACUUGCGUCUGACCUUUAUGUUGGCUCUGCUCUGUUAGAUAUGUAUGCCAAAUGUGGGAGGAUGACCCAAGCUUUGAGGGUCUUUGAUGAGUUGGAGGAGAAGCCUGAUAUAGUCACGUGGUCUUCUAUGGUUUCUGGGUUUGAAAGGAAUGGUUUUCCCUUUGAGGCUGUUGAGUUUUUCAGGAGAAUGGCCACGUCUUCCCAUGUUAGUCCUGAUCGGGUUACUUUAAUCACCCUAGUUUCUGCAUGUACAAAACUAUCUGAUUCAAAACUUGGGAGGUGUGUGCAUGGUUUUGUGAUGCGGAGAGGAUUUGAAAAGGAUUUGUCUUUAGUGAAUUCACUAUUGAAUUGUUAUGCCAAGUCGGGAGCUUUCAAAGAAGCGGUUCAUUUGUUCAAGGUGAUGGCAGAGAAAGAUGUUAUAUCUUGGAGCACAGUCAUUGCUUGCUACGUUCAAAAUGGAGCUGCUGCUGAAGCAUUGCGUGUCUUCAAUGAAAUGAUGGGUAGCGGAACAGAACCUAGUGCAGCUACUAUGCUCAGUGUGUUUCAAGCUUGUGCAGCUUCUCAUGAUCUAAAGCAAGGUAGGAAGAGCCAUGAAUUAGCCAUUAGGAAAGGCAUUGAGACAGAAGUGAAAGUCUCCACUGCUCUAGUUGAUAUGUAUAUGAAGUGUUUCUCCCUCGAGGAAGCUUAUGCUGUUUUCUCCAGGAUUCCGAAGAAAGAUGUGGUCUCUUGGGUUGCGUUGAUAAGCGGCUUUACAUUAAAUGGAAUGGCUCACAGAUCAGUUGAGGAAUUUUCCAAGAUGCUGCUUGAAAAUAAUACGAGGCCUGAUUCUAUUCUUAUGGUGAAGGUACUUAAGGCAUGUUCGGAUUUGGGUUUUCUCGAACAAGCUGAAUGCUUUCAUAGUUAUGUGAUCAAAUUCGGAUUUGACAGUAACCCGUUCAUCGGAGCCUCUCUUGUUGAGCUUUAUUCGAGAUGUGGGAGUCUAGGCAGUGCUUGUAAAGUGUUCGAUGAGAUAACUUUAAAGGACGUCGUGGUUUGGACCUCUUUGAUCACUGGUUAUGGAAUCCAUGGGAAGGGCACUAAAGCGCUGGAGACGUUUACUCAAAUGGUCGAGAGCUCAGAAGUGGAGCCUAAUGAAGUGACAUUUCUCUCAGUUUUGUCUGCUUGUAGUCACUCAGGUUUGAUACACGAGGGACUGAGAAUAUUUGAGUUGAUGGUGAGUCAGUACGGACUUGUUCCUAACUUAGAGCAUUAUGCUGUAUUGGUUGAUCUUCUCGGCCGUGUAGGAGAACUAGAUGCUGCCAUUGAAAUCACAAAUGGGAUGCCUUUUUCACCAACACCACAAGUCUUGGGUACUCUUUUAGGCGCGUGUAGGAUUCAUCAGAAUGAUGAGAUGGCAGAAACUGUUGCAAAGAAGCUCUUUGAAUUGGAACCCAAUCAUGCUGGUUAUUACAUGCUAAUGUCGAAUAUGUAUGGGGUUAAGGGAGAAUGGGAGAAUGUGGAAAAGUUGAGAAAUGCAGUGAGGAACAGGGGAAUUAAAAAAGGAUUGGCAGAUAGUUUGAUUGAGAUAAAAAGAAAGGUCCAUAGCUUUGUGGCUGAUGAUAACAUGCAUCCUGAGAAUGAGCCGGUUUAUGGACUGCUUAAAGAGCUGGAUUUGCAUAUGAAACAAGACUUUGAAGAUUCUGUGUAUUUCCAAACUGAGGGAGGCAGCUAGUGAUUCAGUGAUCAGAAGCUUGAAAUCAAGGAUUUGUAGCAAAGUACUCAAAUUCUCAUAUAUUAGGUGAUCAAUGUGGAGGUUCAAGCACAAGACAGAUCUCGUUCUGCAUAUUAUUUUCAGUAUCACUUGGGGUUUUUAAUUAUGAACCGAUUAGCAGAGGAAUCCCAGUUGAAUUCUUAAUUUCCCGUCUCAGCCCCUUCAUUGGUAACAUCGGAUUCGCAAUCUUCCUCUCUUCCAAAGUUAGUUUUUUUUUUUUAAAAGGAAAAGAAACUUGUUACUCAUGCAAGGUUCUCAGGUGCCACGUCUCUCCUUUACGUGUCACGUUCUUGCAGCAUGUUGCCCAUCUAUAAUACUAUUUACAACAAACCCGAUCCCAUUACUCAAAGCUUAAUAGGAAGAAGCAACUGAUUCAGCAACAUCUUUGUGGUUUUAGUUUCUUGCUAAAGCUAUCUAACAAAGCUUUACCUUGGAGGAUUAAUGGCUGACGUUCGCACACAUGCACACCAGGUUCAAGUGCACCCUCUACGCCAGCACGAAGGAGGCAUCAAAGUGGUUUAUCCCCAGAGCGGGCCUUCUUCCACUCAGGUUCC
rnacentral:lncRNA from 1 species